UGGAAAGCACACAGAGGUGAGAUGAAGGUCAAGUUUUUAUGUGAAACUCCAAGCAUUUUGGCAGCGUUAAGUUCUAGUUGUUUUUUUUUUUUUCUGUUUUGCUGUUGCUUGCUUGCUAGUUUAUAUUUGUGAGGAGUUCUCUUGGUCUCACUUCUAGGCUCAAGGGAAUUCAGGCAAGAAAAGAUUUUAAAGGUGUGUUAGGCGAGAGGUAGGAAAAUCAUUGGCAGAGGGUCCUGGAUAAGAUGAGGGCACAGGUGCCAAGGGGAGGGAGGGGUCUCAUUAACAAAGGUGAGGCCAAGCCAGGAUGAGGAGAUGCAGAGGGGCAGGCAGAGCUCAGAGCAGCUGAGGCAGUCCGUACUUAAUGGCACCUGUGUUCUCAAUGAGUUUCACGUCUGUUGAGUCAAAGGACCCAGGAGGUGGAGGCUGAGAAGAUUCAGAAACCCCGAUGCAGUGGACGGGGAAGAAAACCAGCUGUGGUUCCGUAGCAGAAAGGUGGAGCAAACCUGAGGGCCAGCUAACGUCAGGAGUCACGGGCUUGCGACGGGGGAGCCAGGUGGGACGCUGACUUCUUAUGAAAUCUGAGUGGGAGAAGACCAGGAGGAGGAGACAUUAAAGACAGAAGACAGAAGGCAGAAACUCGAUGGAGCCAGGUCACGGAGCAGGCAGGAGGAGAUGGGAGCAAAGGUUAAACACGAGGAUUCGGUUUGGAAUUGUGCCUCUGACUGCCUCUAGAGCGUGUUGCAUCGGGAAAACUCACCAAGACUCAAACCAAGACAGAGAAGAAAAUGAACAUGGAAUAAUGAGGAUGUGGCCUAAAUGGACAGAUUUCUUCUCCAAAUGGGGGUCAGGCAGAAUUGGGCAACCCCAAAGCAACAGUGGAAACUCCCACGACG
rnacentral:lncRNA from 1 species